rnacentral:rRNA from 1 species
AGCGAACGCUGGCGGUAUGCUUAACACAUGCAAGUCGAGCGCGAAAGUGACUUCGGUCAUGAGUAGAGCGGCGGACGGGUGAGUAACACGUGGAUAAUCUGCCUUUAGGACUGGGAUAACCCUGGGAAACUAGGGCUAAUACCGGAUAAGACCACAGGUUCCAUGGAACCAGGGGUAAAAGGCGGCCUUCGGGCUGUCGCCGAAAGAUGAGUCCGCGUCCCAUCAGGUAGUUGGUGAGGAACGGCUCACCAAGCCGAAGACGGGUAGCCGACCUUAGCGGGUGAUCGGCCACACGGGGACUGAGACACGG